CCUACGGGGGAGCAGCAGUGGGGAAUUUUGGACAAUGGGCGAAAGCCUGAUCCAGCAAUGCCGCGUGUGUGAAGAAGGCCUUCGGGUUGUAAAGCACUUUUGUCCGGAAAGAAAUGGCUCUGGUUAAUACCUGGGGUCGAUGACGGUACCGGAAGAAUAAGGACCGGCUAACUACGUGCCAGCAGCCGCGGUAAUACGUAGGGUCCAAGCGUUAAUCGGAAUUACUGGGCGUAAAGCGUGCGCAGGCGGUUGUGCAAGACCGAUGUGAAAUCCCCGAGCUUAACUUGGGAAUUGCAUUGGUGACUGCACGGCUAGAGUGUGUCAGAGGGGGGUAGAAUUCCACGUGUAGCAGUGAAAUGCGUAGAGAUGUGGAGGAAUACCGAUGGCGAAGGCAGCCCCCUGGGAUAACACUGACGCUCAUGCACGAAAGCGUGGGGAGCAAACAGGAUUAGAUACCCUGGUAGUCCACGCCCUAAACGAUGUCAACUAGUUGUUGGGGAUUCAUUUCCUUAGUAACGUAGCUAACGCGUGAAGUUGACCGCCUGGGGAGUACGGUCGCAAGAUUAAAACUCAAAUGUUUUGACACGGGGG
rnacentral:rRNA from 1 species